rnacentral:rRNA from 1 species
ACCACAUGUCAAGUCGAGCGGUAACAGAUCCAGCUUGCUGGAUGCUGACGAGCGGCGGACGGGUGAGUAAUGCAUAGGAAUCUGCCCGAUAGUGGGGGAUAACCUGGGGAAACCCAGGCUAAUACCGCAUACGUCCUACGGGAGAAAGGGGGCUCCGGCUCCCGCUAUGGGAUGAGCCUAUGUCGGAUUAGCUAGUUGGUGAGGUAACGGCUCACCAAGGCCACGAUCCGUAGCUGGUCUGAGAGGAUGAUCAGCCACAUCGGGACUGAGACACGGCCCGAACUCCUACGGGAGGCAGCAGUGGGGAAUAUUGGACAAUGGGGGAAACCCUGAUCCAGCCAUGCCGCGUGUGUGAAGAAGGCCCUCGGGUUGUAAAGCACUUUCAGCGAGGAAGAACGCCUAGCGGUUAAUACCCGCUAGGAAAGACAUCACUCGCAGAAGAAGCACCGGCUAACUCCGUGCCAGCAGCCGCGGUAAUACGGAGGGUGCAAGCGUUAAUCGGAAUUACUGGGCGUAAAGCGCGCGUAGGUGGCUUGAUAAGCCGGUUGUGAAAGCCCCGGGCUCAACCUGGGAACGGCAUCCGGAACUGUCAAGCUAGAGUGCAGGAGAGGAAGGUAGAAUUCCCGGUGUAGCGGUGAAAUGCGUAGAGAUCGGGAGGAAUACCAGUGGCGAAGGCGGCCUUCUGGACUGACACUGACACUGAGGUGCGAAAGCGUGGGUAGCAAACAGGAUUAGAUACCCCGGGUAGUUCCA